rnacentral:rRNA from 1 species
GGGCCCGCACAAGCGGAGGAACAUGUGGUUUAAUUCGAUGAUACGCGAGGAACCUUACCCGGGCUCGAACGGCUUAGUGAUAUACAAGAGAUUGUAUAGCUAUUUAUAGACUAAGUCGAGGUGCUGCAUGGUUGUCGUCAGCUCGUGCCGUGAGGUGUCGGCUUAAGUGCCAUAACGAGCGCAACCCUUGUCGUUAGUUGCCAUCAGGUGAAGCUGGGGACUCUAGCGAGACUGUCACCGUAAGGUGUGAGGAAGGGGGGAUGACGUCAAAUCAGCACGGCCCUUACGUCCGGGGCGACACACGUGUUACAAUGGGUGAUACAGAGGGCUGCUACUGGGUGACCAGAUGCUAAUCUCGAAAAUCACUCUCAGUUCGGAUCGGAGUCUGCAACUCGACUCCGUGAAGUUGGAUUCGCUAGUAAUCGCGCAUCAGCCAUGGCG